GACGUAAGGGGCUAGCGUUGUCCGGAAUUACUGGGCGUAAAGAGCACGUAGGCGGCCUAACAAGCGGCGGGUGAAAUCCCGCGGCUCAACUGCGGAACUGCUUGCCGAACUGUUAGGCUGGAGCACGGGAGAGGGCAGUGGAAUUCCUGGUGUAGCGGUGGAAUGCGUCAAUAUCAGGAAGAACACCGGUGGCGAAGGCUGCUGCCUGGAACGUCGCUGACGCUGAGGUGCGAAAGCUAGGGGAGCGAACGGG
rnacentral:rRNA from 1 species